rnacentral:rRNA from 1 species
UACGUAGGGUGCAAGCGUUAAUCGGAAUUACUGGGCGUAAAGCGUGCGCAGGCGGUUAUGUAAGACAGUUGUGAAAUCCCCGGGCUCAACCUGGGAACUGCAUCUGUGACUGUAUAGCUAGAGUACGGUAGAGGGGGAUGGAAUUCCGCGUGUAGCAGUGAAAUGCGUAGAUAUGCGGAGGAACACCGAUGGCGAAGGCAAUCCCCUGGACCUGUACUGACGCUCAUGCACGAAAGCGUGGGGAGCAAACAGG